rnacentral:rRNA from 1 species
UACGGAGGGGGCUAGCGUUGUUCGGAAUUACUGGGCGUAAAGCGUGCGCAGGCGGUUCGUUGUGUCGGCGGUGAAAGCCCCGGGCUUAACCUGGGAAUGGCCGUCGAAACUGGCGAACUGGAGUGUGGCAGAGGGGGGUGGAAUACCGCGUGUAGCAGUGAAAUGCGUAGAGAUGCGGAGGAACACCGAUGGCGAAGGCAGCCCCCUGGGCUGACACUGACGCUCAGGCACGAAAGCGUGGGGAGCAAACAGG